CCUCCUUAUGACUGUUCCAGAGAUAGAGGCAGAUAGAAUCAAAUGCAUGUUAAGCUCACUAAUGGUAGCUGGGUAAAGUGUUCCUUCCAUAAUUACCAAAAAUAUUUUGAAGGCUGUAAAGCAGUGGGGAAAGAUAAGUUUUUUGACCCUUUAUUUUUAAGCUGCCCCUGGGAUAAUUCCACAAGUCAGACACAUGUUGUCCGAGACUAUCAGUGGAAAUGGCAACACCGAAAUGGAACUAGAACCCUUUUUAACAGGUUCUGGUCCAGAUCUAAUAAAACAGAUCUGGGAUGUGAUUGCAAGUAGAAACCUCAUGUAAGAGCUUGGAAAUGUAAAUAUUGUGAUUCUUACAGCGAAGCAACUAUUGUGGGUGGACCCCUAGGCCCUGGAAGCAAGCUGUAUUUUGACCCACCAGUUGAUGAUGAAAAUUGGAAAGGUCCCUUCGCUAAUGGGACCUGGGCUCUAAAGAGGCACUACUGAAUUUGUGGCCAAAAUGCUUACUGCAGGCUACCUCCAAACUGGCCAGGGAUAUGUUAUGUGGGGUAUAUUAGACCAUUGUUCUUUCUGCUACCACAAGUUCAAGGAAAUCAGUUAGGAAUCAAAGUAUAUGAUGAUCUAACUAGAGAGAAGCGGUCCAUUGAUACAUCCCUGGUUGGAAGGAGCACCCAAAAGUAGGGAAAAGAUGAAUGGCCACCUAAACGGAUCAUACAACACUAUGGACCAGCUACCUGGAACCCAAAUGAAUUAAUAUCAGGUGCCAGAGAACCCAUUUAUAAUCUAAAUCGGAUAAUUAGGUUGCAAGCUGUCUUUGAAAUAAUAAUCAACCAGACAGCUACAGCUCUUGACCUUCUUGCUGACCAGUCUACUCAGAUGAGAAA